rnacentral:rRNA from 1 species
AGUGAACGCUGGCGGCAUGCCUAACACAUGCAAGUCGAACGGCAGCACAGUAAGCGCUUGCUCUUACGGGUGGCGAGUGGCGGACGGGUGAGGAAUACAUCGGAAUCUACUUUUUCGUGGGGGAUAACGUAGGGAAACUUACGCUACUACAGCAUACGACCUACGGGUGAAAUCAGGGGUUCUUCGGACCUUGCGCGAUUGAAUGAGCCGAUGUCGGAUUAGCUAGUUGGCGGGGGAAAGGCCCACCAAGGCAAGGGUCCGUACCUGGUCUGACAGGUUGAUGAGCCACAUUGGACCUGAAACAGGGCCCAGACUCCUACGGGAGGAAGCAGUGGGGAAUAUUGGACAAUGGGCGCAAGCCUGAUGCAGCCAUCCCGCGUGGGUGAAGAAGGUCUUCGGGUUGUAAAGCCCUUUUGUUGGGAAAGAAAAUCAGCAGAUUAAAACGCCGAUGUUCUGACGGUACCCAAAGAGUAAGCACCGGCUAACUUCGUG